rnacentral:lncRNA from 1 species
CUUGUGCCCUUAGGACUGAGGAAGUAAAAAGGAGGGAAACUUGGAAACACGAAAGAGCCCUUCCCCUUUCAAUUCAAGGUGGAGACUGGACCUCAGAAGAGGGAGUGGGUGCCCCGAGAACUCACAGCUAGCGGACAGUGGAAAGGGCAGGAGCCGGACCAAGGUGAGGACAGUGGAACUGAAGGCCGCUGGUUACCUCUCCUGCCCUCCGCUGGCCACAGUGGAGAAGACAGCCCCUCCCUCCUGCUCUGACCUGACAGUGUUCAUCCAUCGCCCUGUAUUAGCGAAGAACAACAUCAAGCUGGCUAGCAAGGAACUGUAUACAGGGUCCAGCUGGGUAUCACACUGGAUCUCACCCAAAGCUUAGAUGUGAUCCAGCUCAGUAUCACAAAGCAGAACGAAAAGGAUGUGUUUGGGCUGAGAGGCCAUACAUUGGCUCCGGCAUGACGGGUGACUUCUUCCGAGUCUGGCUUCUGCAGCACACAGGGCUUCGCCAGCACCCAGCUCCUGCAGCAUGGGCAGCUCCUGUGACAGCAGGCGCCCGCAGCCUGCAAAGCGUCUCCAGUGCCGCCGCCUCAGUGAACCUCAACCAGCGGCACCUAGCAGCUUUCUCUGCCACCCUCUUCAGGUAGUUCUGUAGCAGCGCGUUUCUCAUGAGACACUUCCCUGUGAGCAGCUUUUUCUACCCUUGAGGAUGGAUUUCCAGCAAAUUCUGCCCAUGUGGUACCACAGCCACUUCUCUGCCAUUCAGUGAAACUGCCGUUGUGCCCUCUUCAAGGUCUGGAUCUAAGCCCAGGGACCAGGAAACCUCUUGCUUGAGUGCUGGAACUCAGGCCAGAAGGUAUGGCUGCUGCUAUGUGCUGUGACCAGAGAAUCAGAGUUCUCUUUACUUCUUACCAGCCAACCUCUUGAAAAUGCCUUUUUGUUUUUUGUUUUUUUUUGAGACGGAGUCUCGCUCUGUUGCCCAGGCAGUGCAGUGGCUCACUGCAACCUCCGCCUCCUGAGUUCAAGUGAUUCUCCUGCCUCAGCCUCACAAGUAGGUGGGAUUACAGGCAUGUGCCACCACGCCCAGCUAAUUUUGUAUUUUUAGUAGUGACGGGGUUUCUCCAUGUUGGUCAGGUUGGUCUCAAACUCUCGACCUCAGGUGAUCCACCUGUCUCAGCCUCCCAAAGUGCUGGGAUUACAGACGUUAGCCAGAGCGCCCAGUCUAAGCCCUUUAUAGCUUAAUUCUAUAUAUUAAAUUUUCCCAGUUCAAAUUAC